GGGAUACUUUUAUUUAGAACAUUUCGUAAAUUCCGUGACCCGGAAGUACUUUUUUUAGUGUUGCUGACGAGACGCUGAACAAGUGACGAGUUUGAACAUUAAAUGCCAACUUGUGCUGCCACCCGACAAGUUUCUGGCGCAGCACAGCAAUGGUCUUAUCCAGAUGGUGGGACAAAGGCAUUUCCUAACAAACAUGCUAACUUUCUUUAAGGUUGGAACCAACAUGCAGUAACUCCAGCAGGAACAGGCUAACGCGGUCAAGAGACACAUACUAUCCGGGUUGAUAUUCAGCAUAGUAGUGGUGCCAGUGGUAACUACUCACCCUCAACGUGGAUGACCCCCACAAGGUCUACCGCUGGUUUUUCCCUUUCUUCCUGUUCUCCUAUCUUCCCCUGCUCUGGCGGAUGGACACCACCUCCAGGGCGAGAGAUGAACCACUGAACCUACCAGAACAAUGAUACACUCACCUUCAACCUGCCAGCUGUGUGUGUGUGUGUACAGUACAUCACAGAGCUGUGCUUAACUUGCUUGAAGGUAACUUUGCUAAAUUUACGUUAUAUCCUUUAAAUGAUACACAAUUACAAUAGGCACAAGUUAUUGUCCCCCAUGUAAACCAACCAGUGACGCCAAGAGCUUUUAUUUUUACCUAGAAAAUACAUUCCACUGUAUGUAUAGGCCAUCAUUGUAAAUAAUAAUUUGUUCUUAACUGACUUGCCUAGUUAAAUAAAGGUUUAAUAAAAAUCUAAAAUACAAAUUAAUAAAGUAAAAACAACUUGCAGUAAUUAAAAUUUACCAGUAGAGGGAGGCAGACUCUCUUGCAAGAUUAGAUCCCUGACUGUCAUUGUCCACUUCCUCCUUUCAUAUUGGUCUAUAAUGGUAUUAUUCCAGAACCUGUUCAGCACUUUGAACAUGUCUUGUCAGGGUUUCCUUACAAUGGAAUGGGCGGCAGGUAGCCUAGCAGUUAAGAAAGUUGGGCCAUUAACCAAAAGGUUUCUGGUUUGAAUCCCCAAACUGACUAGGUGAUUUUAUUUUUGUCAAUGUGCCCUUGAGCUAGGCACUUAAUCCUAAUUGCUUCUGUAAAUCUCGCUGGAUAAGCGUGUGAUGUAAAUAAGUGUAUGCAUCCCUAUUCUUCUCCUCUGUCGUCCUAUUCAAACUGAUCCCGGUAAUCCUUCUGUACGAGACGCUCGUUUGCAUAAUCUGAAUCAGGCAAGGGCUACAGCUGCUUCUCAUUGGCCGUUUAACAGCGAGGAGCACUCGCUAAGAAGCAUAACCACUACUCUGACAUCACAACACUGAGCAGGUACAGUGCCUUCAGAAUGAAUUCGCACCCAUUUUCUACAUUUUGUCGUGUUACAGCCUGAAUUUGAAAUGGAUUACAUUGAGAUGUUGUGUCACUGAUCCACACACAAUACCCCGUUAUGUCAAAGUGGAAUUAUGUUCUUAGAAAUGAUCAACAACCAAUUUGACAGAGCUUGGAAGACUUUUUGAAAGAAUAAUGGGCAAAUAUUGUUCAAUCCAGGUGUGCAAAACUCUUAGGCCCCAAUUCCGACCCGAAAUUAAGAGUGUCUAAAGGGAACGUAGCAUUGGAAGAGCAUGCUAUUCACCCACUAUUCGUUUUGGGUGGAGAUGGAAUAAAUGAAGGCGUGGCGGAGGUUUGUCUACAGCUACACCGUAUUCUGACCUUGACUUCAUUCCCUCAUAAUUCCACCACCUUUACACGUGAGGAAACCAUGAGAUUGGUCAAGCGAACCUGCCGGAUCCAAGUGGAAAAAGCAUCUACUUUCCUUUUCCUAAUGGAAAUAACAGAAUUUCCCGUGCACAUUUAUACAUUUAUAAUUGUAUUUAUAAAUUGGUAAGUGCUAUUGAUAAGAGCUGGGUAAAUGAGUAAUCUGUUUGUAGAAGGGGAUUGCAAAUAGUAAUUGUUUUAAAAUAUUUUUUUCCUUAUGAUCCCUGGGGAUUCAUGUGAAACUAGCCAUACGGAAGCAAACUGAAAGUCAUAUCAACAUGACAUCUAUUGCCCCUUUUCCAUGGUCAAAUUGGAAAUAAACCGUUUUGUCGUUAUUCUGAAUUUGAAUUGUGUGCCCUCGUAAUUUGCACGGAUGAAAUGUGGAGACUAAUGCUACAGACAUCAGUAGGGCUGAUGAGUUGAUCUAUGCACUUUGUUUUGACUAUGUGCCCGGGCUUUUCUCCAUUUUAUUUGACCGUUUGUAACAUGUUAAAUAUUAGCCACUAUCGGGAGCCACCGUUAGUAAUACCCACGCGCAUGUAUUUUUUGCAUCAUUCCAUUCUGUUUACCUCUCUUCCCUCUGUCACAUCCUUGUAGUUGUUCCUGAGGGUCGCUGGCAUUAGUGGAUCACAUUAGGCUAACGUUGUACAAUCGUUUGACAUGUAGCCUAUUUGAAUCAUUAUGGAACUCAGACCACGCGUAGCAGGUUAAACCUGGAGCACAGUUCAUAACGACUGGAUCGUAGUCGUAUGAUCAGCGAGGAUCAGGGUAGAUUUAUAGGACUGUUGUUCAACCCCUAUCGUGCGCCUUUUCCCCACCUCCCGAUAUUUGGUGGAUUGAUCUUGAAUAUGGCAACUUUCAGGGUGAAUCAAACCACUGUACUUUUUAGUCGCCGUUAUAUUUUGUGUGCAAAGGUUCAUUUUUGUACUUUCCUAACCCUAACGUGACUGAAUAAUCUACAUGAAUGUAUCUACCAGUUGGUGCUGAAACAGAGACGAAUAUGCAUAGAUGGCUUUCUUUCUUGGCAGCCUAUAUUCUGACCCUGUUCUCUCAAUGUGUUCUAAUGAGUCUGUCGACCAAAUUCUAAUUAAAAGUACACCUUAUUUAAACAGAUGGCUGAGGACAAAUGUACUUUUAAAGCCCAUUGAAUGAAAACUCAGUGAGAAUAUCUGUUGGCAACUCAAUAAGGCAAGUCUGAAUCGCCAAAUACUGAGAAGUGUGUAGGAAAGGCAUGUAUAGGAAGGGCAUACAUUCCUAAGUCAGGAUCGGGACCUUAGACUUACCCAGGAUGAUGGAGUGUUUCUUCCACUUUGACACGACAGAGUAUUUUGUGUAGAUCGUUGACAGAAAAUUAACAAGUCCAUUGUAAUCCAACUUUGUAACAAAAAGAAAUGUGAGCAAAAGUCAAGGGCGUGAAUACUUUCUGAACGCACUAUAUAUGGAUCCCUAACAUAGACAUAUUACACACACAAAUGUAUUACCACAGCCUUACCUCAUACACUCACAGCCAUUGGAAAUAGGAUACUCAUUUUUAAAUCCCAUUUGACUAAAGCAACUUUAUCGACUUCAGGGUGGCAAAUUGGCAUACCUCCAAACAUACAACUAUGCAUGCCGUAGGUUCACCCUUCACACGCCAAUAAAUCACUGUCAAAUUUGAGGCAGCCCUACUGCCAAUGUAUGUAAUCACCAGCCUUUUGAAUGGCUCACUAUGUCCAAAACGGACACACAGAGAGUGGCAUCUCCACACAUUCUUAAGAGAGUGCAAAAGCAACACACCCAUUAAAAAACAGGCAGAAACUGACCGACAAAGAUUCAGCAAACACACACACACACACCACUGCACUAAUUAUUACGUUAAUGCCACGAGACAGUCAGUGUGAAAGGCAUUAGAGUUCAUCCGUCCGCUCAUCCCCAUGGACAAGAAGAGAGGCUUCUGCAUAUAUGGUGUCCGCAGAUGAAGACACACAUACACUACUAGAUAGUCAACUGAGGGCGUCGUCACAGGAUGUCUUGGUUAAUAAGCACUCUCACACCCUGCAAUACAAAGUCUACACCACAGUGUGGGUGAGAGAAGGAACAGGAGGGAGGGAGGGAAAGGGGAUUGAAUGGGAGAGGUGGAUGAGAGAGAAAAAAAGAGGGAUGUGGAAGGGUUGGGAUGAGAGCGAGGAGAAAGAUGCAGAUGAUACUGUCUGAAGUGUGUGGGAGAGAAAGAUGGAAGGAAAGAGA